GGGAGCUUGCUCCCUGAUGUUAGCGGCGGACGGGUGAGUAACACGUGGGUAACCUGCCUGUAAGACUGGGAUAACUCCGGGAAACCGGGGCUAAUACCGGAUGGUUGUCUGAACCGCAUGGUUCAGACAUAAAAGGUGGCUUCGGCUACCACUUACAGAUGGACCCGCGGCGCAUUAGCUAGUUGGUGAGGUAACGGCUCACCAAGGCGACGAUGCGUAGCCGACCUGAGAGGGUGAUCGGCCACACUGGGACUGAGACACGGCCCAGACUCCUACGGGAGGCAGCAGUAGGGAAUCUUCCGCAAUGGACGAAAGUCUGACGGAGCAACGCCGCGUGAGUGAUGAAGGUUUUCGGAUCGUAAAGCUCUGUUGUUAGGGAAGAACAAGUGCCGUUCAAAUAGGGCGGCACCUUGACGGUACCUAACCAGAAAGCCACGGCUAACUACGUGCCAGCAGCCGCGGUAAUACGUAGGUGGCAAGCGUUGUCCGGAAUUAUUGGGCGUAAAGGGCUCGCAGGCGGUUUCUUAAGUCUGAUGUGAAAGCCCCCGGCUCAACCGGGGAGGGUCAUUGGAAACUGGGGAACUUGAGUGCAGAAGAGGAGAGUGGAAUUCCACGUGUAGCGGUGAAAUGCGUAGAGAUGUGGAGGAACACCAGUGGC
rnacentral:rRNA from 1 species